GCGGAUAUGGUGGAAUUGGUAGACAUGCUAGAUUUAGGAUCUAGUGCCGUAAGGCGUGUGGGUUCGACUCCCUCUAUCCGCACCA
rnacentral:tRNA from 1 species